ACAAUUAUUAUUCCUACGAUUAAGAGACCUGUUUACAAAUAUUGGAAAUUCUCGAAAUUUCAUACGCUACCAGGUGGGAAAUUCGGUGGAAUACAGCAGUUCUCUCUUCGUAAGAAGAGAGAUUGUGUUACCCUUCGUAACACAUUACCCGUGAGGGAACUAUUAGGUGGAAACCUAGUUAGCUUUGUCGUCAUAAGUGAUCAACGUCUUUCCCCUCGAUUUAUUUUCGGCGGGCGAAUGACGGAUGGGAACGGCGAUAGUUACAAUGUUUGACGUAUCACGUGAUAUUAUCACAAGGUAUGGUCUGUUGAGUGCAAUCGUAGGACCCCGGUUGUUAUCUACAACCGGUUGAACCCGAUACCGAUUACAGUAAUUGU
rnacentral:RNase_P_RNA from 2 species